rnacentral:rRNA from 1 species
UACAGAGGGGGCAAGCGUUGUUCGGAAUUACUGGGCGUAAAGGGCGCGUAGGCGGCCUGUUAAGUCGAACGUGAAAUCCCCGGGCUCAACCCGGGAACUGCGUCCGAUACUGGCAGGCUUGAAUCCGGGAGAGGGAUGCGGAAUUCCAGGUGUAGCGGUGAAAUGCGUAGAUAUCUGGAGGAACACCGGUGGCGAAGGCGGCAUGCUGGGCUACUGCUGACACUGAUGCGCGACAGCGUGGGGAGCAAACAGG